UUUUGCGGAUUUCUUCGGAUUGAAGCAAUUGUGACUGAGCGGCGGACGGGUGAGUAACGCGUGGGUAACCUGCCUCAUACAGGGGGAUAACAGUUAGAAAUGACUGCUAAUACCGCAUAAGCGCACAGGACCGCAUGGUCGAGUGUGAAAAACUCCGGUGGUGUGAGAUGGACCCGCGUCUGAUUAGCUGGUUGGUAAGGUAACGGCCCACCAAGCCUUCGAUGGAUAGGGGUUCUGAGAGGAAGGUCCCCACAUUGGAACUGAGACACGGUCCAAACUCC
rnacentral:rRNA from 1 species